AGAAUUUCAGUUUAGUCUCUAAUUUAAUCUUAUUUACUAACAUAGACGUUAUCAGCAUCACCACGGAGGUGAUCUCAAUUACUUUUGAAAUUCAUUCACCUGCUAGUACAAACAUUUUGCCCUUGUUAUCUCUCAGGUAAGAAUGUGAUCAUACUGACACUGGCAUCCAAAUCCACUUUCCUUUGUAAAUUAGCUUUUUAUUGCUGUGACAAAUACCCGAAAAAAAAAAAAAAAAAAAAAACAACCUAAGGGAGGAUGUUUAUUUUGACUCACUGUUUCGGAAGUUUCAGUUCAUGGUUGACCUUGCUCUGGGCCUGCAGUGAGGUGAGGUAGAACAUCGGGGGAAAGCUGUUCAUCUCAUGGCAGCCAGGAAAGACAGAAAGGGGACAGGCUUCCCAGGGCACAUCCCCAGCUUUAUUUGUUGCUGUGACUCAAGGACCUGAUCAGAACAAUUUUAGAGGAGGAAAAGUUUAUUUGGGGGCUCAUGGUUUCAGAGGUCUCAGUCCACAGAAGGCCGGCUCCAUUCCUCGGAGCUCGAGGUAAAGUGGAACAUCAUGGUGGAAGAGUGUGGCAUAGGGAAGUGGCUUAUAUGGUGGUCAGGAAACAGAGAGAGUCAUCUCCACUUGCCAGACACAAAUAUAUAACCCCACAGCCACCCCUCCCCCCCCCCAGUGAAUUACUUCCUCCAGCCACAUUUCACCUGUCACUAAUUACCACUCAGUAAAUUCCAUCGGGGAUUAAUUCACUGAUUAGUUUAAUGCUAUGGCCCAAUCAUUUCUCCUCCAAACCUUCUUGCCUUGUCUCACACAUAGCUUUUGGGGCCCACCUUGUCUAAACCAUACACCCAGGGACUAACUUCCUCCAACCCUAUCCCACUAUCUACAAUUCCCACCACCUCCCAUGAAUCCAUUCAGCUAUCAAUAGUUAAUCCUCUGAGGAAGUCAGAUUCCUCCUAAUCCAAUCACUUCCCAAAAGCUCUACUUUGGAAUAUAGAUGCAGUGGAGACCAAGCUUUCAACACUUCAUAUCCAAACCAUAAAACUGCUUAUCUCCAAAUUCCUACCCAAAUUCCCAGGCAGAACAUCUGGACAAUUCUCUUCCAAGGGAUCUCUGGACUUUCCAAAGUGAUAAUGACUUAUUUAGAAACACAGUCUUAAUGUCCUUCCCCCCCCGAUUCUUCUGAC
rnacentral:lncRNA from 1 species